rnacentral:misc_RNA from 1 species
AACGCAUAUUGCACCCCUUGGUAUUCCGGGGGGUACACCUGUUCGAGCGCCAUUUCAACCCUCAAGCUUAGCUUGGUGUUGGGUGAGGUCCCCUCUAGGACCCUCCCGUAACCCGUAGGCGGUUUCCGUUCGUACUCCCCUAGCGUAGCAGGCUCACGCACUCGCUCGGGGGGAUGGGGUGAAGACCAUGCCUUUUUUUAACCCUUUCAAAGGUUUGGCCUCGGAUCAGGUGGGGAUACCCGCUGAACUUAA